rnacentral:rRNA from 1 species
CCUACGGGUGGCAGCAGUGGGGAAUAUUGGACAAUGGGCGAAAGCCUGAUCCAGCCAUGCCGCGUGUGUGAAGAAGGCCUUCGGGUUGUAAAGCACUUUCAGUGGGGAAGAAAGCCUUGGGGCUAAUACCCUCGAGGAAGGACAUCACCCACAGAAGAAGCACCGGCUAACUCCGUGCCAGCAGCCGCGGUAAUACGGAGGGUGCGAGCGUUAAUCGGAAUUACUGGGCGUAAAGCGCGCGUAGGCGGUCUGAUAAGCCGGUUGUGAAAGCCCCGGGCUCAACCUGGGAACGGCAUCCGGAACUGUCAGGCUAGAGUGCAGGAGAGGAAGGUAGAAUUCCCGGUGUAGCGGUGAAAUGCGUAGAGAUCGGGAGGAAUACCAGUGGCGAAGGCGGCCUUCUGGACUGACACUGACGCCGAGGUGCGAAAGCGUGGGUAGCAAACAGGAUUAGAUACCCGUGUAGUC